AGAGUUUGAUCCUGGCUCAGGAUGAACGCUGGCGGCGUGCCUAACACAUGCAAGUCGAGCGAAGCGCUUGAAUUCGAUUCUUCGGAUGAGGAUUCUUGUGACUGAGCGGCGGACGGGUGAGUAACGCGUGGGCAACCUGCCUUACACAGGGGGAUAACAGUUAGAAAUGACUGCUAAUAUCGCAUAAGACCGCAGUACCGCAUGGUACAGCGGUAAAAACUCCGGUGGUGUAAGAUGGGCCCGCGUCUGAUUAGGUAGUUGGCGGGGUAACGGCCCACCAAGCCGACGAUCAGUAGCCGACCUGAGAGGGUGACCGGCCACAUUGGGACUGAGACACGGCCCAGACUCCUACGGGAGGCAGCAGUGGGGAAUAUUGCACAAUGGGGGAAACCCUGAUGCAGCGACGCCGCGUGAGCGAUGAAGUAUUUCGGUAUGUAAAGCUCUAUCAGCAGGGAAGAAAAUGACGGUACCUGACUAAGAAGCCCCGGCUAACUACGUGCCAGCAGCCGCGGUAAUACGUAGGGGGCAAGCGUUAUCCGGAUUUACUGGGUGUAAAGGGAGCGUAGACGGCUGUGCAAGCCAGAUGUGAAAGCCCGGGGCUCAACCCCGGGACUGCAUUUGGAACUGUGUAGCUGGAGUGUCGGAGAGGCAGGCGGAAUUCCUAGUGUAGCGGUGAAAUGCGUAGAUAUUAGGAGGAACACCAGUGGCGAAGGCGGCCUGCUGGACGAUGACUGACGUUGAGGCUCGAAAGC
rnacentral:rRNA from 1 species